rnacentral:rRNA from 1 species
AUGCCGGCAGGAUCGUCACCAGUGAUCCCGCUCCAGCAAGUCGCAUGUUUACCGGCGGGCCGCUUCGCGGUUGUUCUGCCGGAGAUCACCAGUGGCGCCCCCGCCACAAUCACGGUCAGCAUCGGCGACCAUCGCAGCGAGGGGAAAGCCACUGAGGACAAGCGCGAGAAGGCCGUAAAAGCAAAGGGGCGGGUUCUCAAGAUGGGUCCUUGUGGUGGCCCUGGUGGCGACGUGUGGAAGAUGGACGUGCGCGGCGUCGACCGCAUCGUCAAGGUGAUCCUGUGGCAUGCAGGCGCAGUCGACGCAAUCUCGGUUUCGUACGAGCGGGAUGGCCAGAUUGAGCAGACCGAGCACUGGGGGAAACCUGAGGGUCGACAACGCUCAGAGAUCUGUUUGGAUCCGGAUGAAUACCUCACCGGUAUGAAAGGGCAUGUGGGCGAGUUCGGUGGCUCUUUCCUUGUCGGAGCGCUUACUUUAGUUGGCAACCGGCGCUCCUUCGGACCAUACGGGACAAGGAAAGGCCUGCCGUUCGAGUUGCCUGCACUGGUGGAAAAAUGGCCUUUUAUCGCGGUUCGCAACUGCCAUUAG